AUCCUAAGGUGGGGACAAGGGGCAAAGCAGAGCAGUGGGGAAGACAUUUCUGCUGUGUUUCUCCCCUCUUCUAUGUAAGGCCAGGGAAAGCCUUCAGUUUAGUAGGUCAUCACUAUCGCAGCACACCUGCAUGCAGCUCCUCGGGGACUCUGGGCACAGGACAAGUCAGAACAACCAGAAGAAGACUCGAGCCACUAAGAGUUGACAGCAGAAAGACAAGGGGCAGGCUUCCAGUCAAAAGGCACCCAAAUAAGGAGACAAAAGGACUGACUCAGAGAGGUGGGACAGGAUGGGGAGACAAAGACCGUGAUUGCUAUCAGCUGCUGAAGGCAGCUAUCAGCUCCUGAAGGCGCAUCCCGGGCUAUCAGAUGGGCACCCUGAGGGGAGAAGCUUUGAAAAAGUGCCAACAAGAACCAACCCGCUGGUGAGGCCGCGAUGGCGCUUCAGCUGCAGACAUGACUACACAGCCCCAGCUCCAGAGAGAGAGCUUUGUCAUACUGCCAUCAGCACUUUCUUGUUAUAUGGGAUGUCUGGACAGGCACCUGUGUCACAUAAUUCAAAAGGGCCAGGGCCUGCAGCUCUCAGCUAACUCAUCGUCCGGAGCCCUUCAGCACUGAAUUUCUGAGCAUGUGUUGACUACUCUAGUUGUAACUUACUCACUAAUAGCUUACUCCCUGUAAGCUUUGGGCAGAUGUGACCUAAGUGUGGAGAUACAUUGCUGUCACUUCUCCCACAGAGGCCCUGUCACUAUGAGGAUCUCUGCCUCCUUAGCUGGGUUCCUGAAGUGCCUGGGGAGGAACUGCCCAAAACUGCUAGUGGCACCUCUGUAGUGCAAGCAUAAGCCAAUGGUUUGGAGUCAAAGGCUUCUCUUUGUUAAAAUCCAGGAAAAUGAUGAUGAAAGGAAACUUUUGCUUGGAAGAGAAUGAAAUGAAAGGGCUUGGAGGUCUUCAAAGUGGAUUGUGGAGAAAAGUUGGGCCAGUUUUAAAACAAACCUGAAAGAGAGACAGAGAAAUGAGUAGAAAAUUAAGCAAUGGAGGAGAAAGACAUGCAAAUAAAGUGCAGAGUAGGGCUUAAAGGGAGAGAGAUGGAGGGAACAACCUGUGAAGAAAAACUGAAAGUAGAUGAGGUGAUGUAGAAUAUGGGGAGUACACAUGAAGGCACUGCAGAAAAGAGAGAAUAAGAGGAUGGGGGUGCUGCUCUUCAAAGAAAAGAGAAAAAAAAAAGAGGAGAGAAAUAAGGAAAAAAAAAAAGAGCUGAAAACCAUAGACAGAGGCUUGUGGAAAAACUGAAUGUUUGGGAGGAAAUUCAAGUGUUAGAGAGAGAGCAUGAAGAAAGCCAUGUAAUAUUAAGACUAGCAAAAUGUUUCUUAUUUAUUCAUGUUACUCCUGGAUUAUUUUUCCCUGGCAGCUGCUGCGGGUCCGAUUGCCAUGCCCUCCCCUCCCUCGGAGGAGCGCGGCCAAGCACUUCUCUUUGAGGAUGAUGAAUGGGCAGAGCAUUCUUGAGCACUUCAGCUGUACACAAGGCUCUCCAAAGCCCCCUUCGGUCUUGGGCAGCUUCCCCACAGCCUCCCUGGUGGAAACUUGGCAGCUCUGCUACAACCCACAUGUAGGCUCCCAUCCUGCAAGCUGGUCCAUUACCAAUGCUGAAAUAUGUGUCUUGGGGUAAAAUAUCUGAGAAUGGGGCUAACCUUCCCUGCAAAGGAGGUGUCAUCUGUUCCCUUUCCUGCAUCCUUCCUUGCCACUGGUGUGCAGGGCGUGUGCACGCUCCUCACAGACAUUUAGCAACUUAUUGAUGGGGUGGUCCAAAUCCUGUUGCAGUCCAUGAAAGUUCUUCUGCUAGUUUUAAUGGCCUUUAAAAUGCUCGCCCCCGUGAGGCUCACACCCAGCUGUACCCUUUGGACUUGUCAGAGAACUUGAUUUGCUGAGCAAUUUAAUCAGUGGGAAAGUUGGGAAGUUCAGAAAGGCGAGAUCAGGCCUUUUAACCUUUUCUUUCCUCCCCUGAGCAUGGGGAAGCCUUUUCCAAGCCCAGAUAGAUAUUUAAAAGAACAGCUUUUCUCAGAGGUAGUUUUUAUCAGUCCAGACAGGGACACAAUAUUUUUUUUUCAAAAGCUUCCCAGUGAUUUCAGGGUGUAAGUCCCAUCUUACUUCAGAAGUGACACUUGGGCUCUUUUCUUGCCCUUCAGCCGUGUCUUCCUGCUCUUCAGCCAGAUCUCUGAGGAGAAAGAAGCAAAGAAGGGGCUCAAACAGCUCUCUUUAAAUCAGAGGCAUGUUUAAGAGCUGACAUCUCACAGGAUUGACACUAGACACAUGGAUCAGGCACAUCUCACAGCCCAGAGGUCUGAACUAGGAACCUCUGUACAUAUUUUCCGGCAGCAAACUUAAAUGUGAUAUACGCAGCACUGUGCUACAAAGCAUGUGCCAACUUGACAGGAAUACAGGAGCUCUAGGAAAGCAACUAUUAAUGAGAUGGAUCUAUCAGCCUAGUAAGAAGCUUAUUCCCUCUUGGACCAUACAUGGAUUUUUUGGGAAAACACACGUCAACUAAGCGAGUCAAGGAAAAGGCAGUAAUUUGGAGAGCACUUGCACUUGCACCACUGCUGCUGUAGAGCACAUAUAGGCUCUGCCCUGGUUGUGCACAAAGGCUUUCUGGAUGCUUUUCCAAAAUGGUCUCGGCAUCGAGUUUUCAGCAGGUUGGGAGGUAGAAAGCCCAAGAGGAUGUGCAGCAGCAACUGUGGGCAACCAGGCUCUCUACAGGCUGACACAGGGCUGAAUAUCCCUGCCUUGGCAGGGCUGGUCCUGAAGACAUUUGUUUGCAUGAAUGGCCCUGUUAUCUGCAAACUGGACAACGUUGAAAUCCCCUGAGCUUCUUUCAGGGGUGUGGGGACUGCAGGGUGAGGCCCUGAGUGAGAGACUGCUGUGCAAGGAUUGCCUGGGCCGGGAGAGCCUGAUGAGACAUCUCUCAGGGGGACAGAAAGGUUUUUAAUGUGCUUCCUGCUACAAGCAGUGCCAUCCCCACUGCUGAUGCGUAUAUGGGGCUCUCUUCAGUAACCUCAAUUAAAAAAUAAAUAAAUAAAUUUUAACAUACGUUUACUUCAUAUUCACAUACUUAACUGGCCACACUGUCUAUCUCAGGAAAUCCGUGGGAUUUCCUAAGGAGCUUUGUUAUCUAAUUCGUUUCCAAUGGCAGUGAAUCCACAGCUGCAGUGCUCAUUAUAAAUGCUGUCACUUCCAGGAAGUGUGGGGCUGAAGUGCCUCCCCUGCUGCCAUGCUAGCGCUGCACACCGAAUCCCCCCAGCGUGCUUGUUUUCCCAUGCGUGCCUCAGCUUCAGCGCUGCGGUUGCAGCCCUUGGUCCCAACCCUGUUAACUCUUCACCUCGAGAGCAGUGCUACUCGGCUGAGCGUGCUUCCAGGUGGCUCCUCCUGCACGUGAGAGGUGGCACAGUCAGGCAGAGGUUUAUUUAAACAAGCCUGCAUCAGCACGCAGGCUGCUACAUCUCGCUUGAAUUUCUCCUAAAAGGAGGUGGCGGGGCCAUGCUCGCUCCCUGGGUGGCUGCUGGACUUUCGCUGUGGGACACGAGCCCGGUGUUCAGCCUGUAGCAACCAGGACUUAAUAACACCAGUCACGAGGCAUAAAACACCCUAAAUUGGCUGGGUGGUUUGGUGAUAAUGAAGCGGGGUGUUUACACAGCGCAAUUUCGUCUUCUCAAGGCCUGUGAUGUGAACUGUGGACUCAUACUACCCUAGGGGCAAUAUAUAUGGGACUUGCGUUAGGUUAGAGAAAGAAUAACCUUUCUCCUACUGGGUUUGCUUUAAUUAUAGUCUGAGUUGAGUUGCACCAUCUUAUUUUUCCCAUAUUCUUCGAUUUGUUCAAACCGUAACCUUUUAGGCUAGCAUUUUCCGUGCCAGAUGACUGCCUCAGCCUGCCUCUGGAGGGAUGUUUCUCGCUGUUCUUUCUAGGAAUGCUUUUCCCAGAACAGCUUCUCAUGGAGGACGCCGUGAACUUGGGAAAGCCAGCUGUAAGACAUGUGUAAAAUCUGGUUUCAAGCAUGUGUCUUUUGUACCUCCCGUGAAAAAUACCCGGACUCAGCCAAGUCAUAAGCCCCUGGAAAAUCGCAGUUUGCACACACCUGGUGGAGGCUUGCAAGUUUGGCAGCUGCCUGAUGUUUCUUCUGCUCAGAGAGUGCUCUGCUCUGUGGCUGCAGGGACUCGGCUGGAGGUUUCUGCCCGUGCUCUUCUUCAUGCCUGCUGGCACAGGCACAGGGACACCAGCUCUGCCACAUUUAUCUCCUUGACCCAAAACCGUGAGGAGGAAGCGUCCUGGCCUUGAUGUCUGCAGGAGGCAUAAAUAGCUGCCGCAGCAAAGACAAUAUCCAGGACUGUAGAGAGUAACCUCAGUGAUAGCACCACUGGUGUGUUUAUCCAGCACUGUGCUCUGGCAGUAAAUAUCCAAAAUCCAGCAGGAGACAUCCCUGAGCACCCUGCUGUGGCUGACCCUGAUUUGAGCAGGAGGUUGGGCAGGAGGAUCUCCAGAGGUCCCUUCUGGCCUCAGCCAUGCUCUGCCGAUGUGUUCUCACGGAUUGGGAGCCUCAGGGGGCUAUUUACGCUGCCAGUCUUUGGGCACUUCAAUUCAGGAAGCUUUUUCCCCUAUCUCGUCUUCGGAGGGAGAUUAGUCCAGGCAGGAGGUGACUCAGAGAAUCCAGGCUGGUCUCCUGCUCUGAAUCACCUCCUGCGACGUAUCUCCUCUGAUUAUAAAGGCAGCUGAUGGAUACCGAAGGAGCAACUUCCCUAAGUUUUGUACCUAAAGAUGCUGAUGCACCUUCCUUUUUAAGGCUAUAGAUAAUAGAUGAGUGCUUUCAAACCAGCAGAGGAGUAGACUAUUGGCCAAAUUUCUGAGUGUAAACCGAGGACAAAAACUGGACUAUGGGAUACAUUGUAAAAUCCAAGUUAUUUUGUGAUGAUCCUGUGAUACAGAUGAAUACAGUUUCCUUGUUUUGUUGCCCUUCUCUGCUAAGCAGAUUACCCAUCUUCUCCAGCUGGAAGCCUGUAGUGUUAGCAGAGUGAAGACUCUACUCUUAUCUGGAGAGAUUGUAUUUUUGAGGGGGUGGGGGAGCUCCAAGCAAUUUCAUAAGCUGUGUUGCUGUGAGUAUGCAGCCUUUUUACAUGCCUGUUUUCAGGUUAGCAGUCCGUAAAAAUACUCACUCUGCUGAAUAUUUUAAAGCAUGCAAUAAAACAAUAUUUUAUGGAAGAGAACAAGGGAAUGUGUACAAGCCUGUCAGAUUUUGAUGAGUCAAAAUAUUCAUCGCAGUUUUAUCACAGGGUAUCAACGUGAGGAGUGAUAAUUACCUGUGACCAGUUGGGCCAGAACUGCUUUUACUGAUAGAUGCAUUUUCGGUCUUUGUGGGCUGUGCUUUUGCCUUGCAGUUUUAGGCAAUGCCCUUUAGCGAAUCCUUCAUGCAAGGUGUGAGGUUUGACAGACCCUGAUUCAUCAGUGAUUUUAUGGCAAGUGUGAUUUUUUUUUCCCCAUUGGUCCCAGAGGUCUGAGACCAUAGAAGUCUGACAAAAUUAGCUGAGCAGUGGAUGCUGUGAAGGUUGGUUACAUACUGCUAUUCAUGCACGUGUGCUUGCUGGCUGCCAGACAGACCGGAGAGCAGCCAAAUUCUCUCUGCCUCUCGCUCAGGGGGUUUUCAAAGAUGUUUCUUUCCUACGUCCUGUUGGUGAUUAAAAAAAGAAAAAGAAAAACAAAAGGAUGAGGCAUUACUGUCCCUGGUUUCUCCUCCUCUGACAGUUUGGCCAAUGGAUUCAAAAGCUGCUGAAGGAAAACAGGAAGACAGGAAGACACACAGACUGUGAUGAUAUAAACUCUGUUUCUCUAGGACACUAGGCUUAAAAAAAGUUCCUAGGCCUCUCAGUAACAGAAUAAACCUUGGGAACAUGACUUAAGUCUGUGCUGUGGGCUCAGAAACUAAAAGGAAUGAAUCCCACAUGUAUUGAUUAUUUUUAAAAUGCUUGCAAGCUCCAGUUCAGUUUUAUGAUUAUUUGGUGACUUGCUCCUGCCUGGAGCUGAAAGUUUGACAUUGAGCUCCUCCAAAUAUAUGGCCUAUUAGAGGUCCCUCUGGUGAUCAUAACAUAGAAGCCAGCAGUUAGCUGCCUCUGUUAUGGGUUCCCAGCACUUCUAGGGAUUUGUUCCUGUGAAUAAUAUUUCCUCUGGACCCCACCUCACCGAUCUGAGCUGCACUUGAGAGGACACAUCUAGAGCAAUUUGCCAGAAUCGACUGUUUGACAUAAUCUGUUUAUAAAAAUUGAUAGAAACGUGUAGAUGAAAAAAAAAAAAAAAAAAAAAAAA